rnacentral:rRNA from 1 species
CGAGACCUCAGGUCAGGCGGGGCUACCCGCUGAAUUUAAGCAUAUCAAUAAGCGGAGGAAAAGAAACUAACAAGGAUUUCCCUUAGUAACGG